rnacentral:tRNA from 1 species
GAAAGUGUAGUUUAACAAAAACGCUAGAUUGUGAUUCUAGAAAUCAGGGUUUGAUCCCCUUCACUUUCC